rnacentral:rRNA from 1 species
GGGUUGUGAGGUUAAGCGACUAAGCGUACACGGUGGAUGCCCUGGCAGUCAGAGGCGAUGAAGGACGUGCUAAUCUGCGAUAAGCGUCGGUAAGGUGAUAUGAACCGUUAUAACCGGCGAUUUCCGAAUGGGGAAACCCAGUGUGAUUCGUCACACUAUCAUUAACUGAAUCCAUAGGUUAAUGAGGCGAACCGGGGGAACUGAAACAUCUAAGUACCCCGAGGAAAAGAAAUCAACCGAGAUUCCCCCAGUAGCGGCGAGCGAACGGGGAGGAGCCCAGAGCCUGAAUCAGUGUGUGUGUUAGUGGAAGCGUCUGGAAAGGCGCGCGAUACAGGGUGACAGCCCCGUACACAAAAAUGCACAUGCUGUGAGCUCGAUGAGUAGGGCGGGACACGUGGUAUCCUGUCUGAAUAUGGGGGGACCAUCCUCCAAGGCUAAAUACUCCUGACUGACCGAUAGUGAACCAGUACCGUGAGGGAAAGGCGAAAAGAACCCCGGCGAGGGGAGUGAAAAAGAACCUGAAACCGUGUACGUACAAGCAGUGGGAGCACAGAGCAAUCUGUGUGACUGCGUACCUUUUGUAUAAUGGGUCAGCGACUUAUAUUCUGUAGCAAGGUUAACCGAAUAGGGGAGCCGAAGGGAAACCGAGUCUUAACUGGGCGUUAAGUUGCAGGGUAUAGACCCGAAACCCGGUGAUCUAGCCAUGGGCAGGUUGAAGGUUGGGUAACACUAACUGGAGGACCGAACCGACUAAUGUUGAAAAAUUAGCGGAUGACUUGUGGCUGGGGGUGAAAGGCCAAUCAAACCGGGAGAUAGCUGGUUCUCCCGAAAGCUAUUUAGGUAGCGCCUCGUGAAUUCAUCUCCGGGGGUAGAGCACUGUUUCGGCAAGGGGGUCAUCCCGACUUACCAACCCGAUGCAAACUGCGAAUACCGGAGAAUGUUAUCACGGGAGACACACGGCGGGUGCUAACGUCCGUCGUGAAGAGGGAAACAACCCAGACCGCCAGCUAAGGUCCCAAAGUCAUGGUUAAGUGGGAAACGAUGUGGGAAGGCCCAGACAGCCAGGAUGUUGGCUUAGAAGCAGCCAUCAUUUAAAGAAAGCGUAAUAGCUCACUGGUCGAGUCGGCCUGCGCGGAAGAUGUAACGGGGCUAAACCAUGCACCGAAGCUGCGGCAGCGACACUGUGUGUUGUUGGGUAGGGGAGCGUUCUGUAAGCCUGUGAAGGUGUGCUGUGAGGCAUGCUGGAGGUAUCAGAAGUGCGAAUGCUGACAUAAGUAACGAUAAAGCGGGUGAAAAGCCCGCUCGCCGGAAGACCAAGGGUUCCUGUCCAACGUUAAUCGGGGCAGGGUGAGUCGACCCCUAAGGCGAGGCCGAAAGGCGUAGUCGAUGGGAAACAGGUUAAUAUUCCUGUACUUGGUGUUACUGCGAAGGGGGACGGAGAAGGCUAUGUUGGCCGGGCGACGGUUGUCCCGGUUUAAGCGUGUAGGCUGGUUUUCCAGGCAAAUCCGGAAAAUCAAGGCUGAGGCGUGAUGACGAGGCACUACGGUGCUGAAGCAACAAAUGCCCUGCUUCCAGGAAAAGCCUCUAAGCAUCAGGUAACAUCAAAUCGUACCCCAAACCGACACAGGUGGUCAGGUAGAGAAUACCAAGGCGCUUGAGAGAACUCGGGUGAAGGAACUAGGCAAAAUGGUGCCGUAACUUCGGGAGAAGGCACGCUGAUAUGUAGGUGAAGUCCCUCGCGGAUGGAGCUGAAAUCAGUCGAAGAUACCAGCUGGCUGCAACUGUUUAUUAAAAACACAGCACUGUGCAAACACGAAAGUGGACGUAUACGGUGUGACGCCUGCCCGGUGCCGGAAGGUUAAUUGAUGGGGUCAGCGCAAGCGAAGCUCUUGAUCGAAGCCCCGGUAAACGGCGGCCGUAACUAUAACGGUCCUAAGGUAGCGAAAUUCCUUGUCGGGUAAGUUCCGACCUGCACGAAUGGCGUAAUGAUGGCCAGGCUGUCUCCACCCGAGACUCAGUGAAAUUGAACUCGCUGUGAAGAUGCAGUGUACCCGCGGCAAGACGGAAAGACCCCGUGAACCUUUACUAUAGCUUGACACUGAACAUUGAGCCUUGAUGUGUAGGAUAGGUGGGAGGCUUUGAAGUGUGGACGCCAGUCUGCAUGGAGCCGACCUUGAAAUACCACCCUUUAAUGUUUGAUGUUCUAACGUGGACCCGUGAUCCGGGUUGCGGACAGUGUCUGGUGGGUAGUUUGACUGGGGCGGUCUCCUCCUAAAGAGUAACGGAGGAGCACGAAGGUUGGCUAAUCCUGGUCGGACAUCAGGAGGUUAGUGCAAUGGCAUAAGCCAGCUUGACUGCGAGCGUGACGGCGCGAGCAGGUGCGAAAGCAGGUCAUAGUGAUCCGGUGGUUCUGAAUGGAAGGGCCAUCGCUCAACGGAUAAAAGGUACUCCGGGGAUAACAGGCUGAUACCGCCCAAGAGUUCAUAUCGACGGCGGUGUUUGGCACCUCGAUGUCGGCUCAUCACAUCCUGGGGCUGAAGUAGGUCCCAAGGGUAUGGCUGUUCGCCAUUUAAAGUGGUACGCGAGCUGGGUUUAGAACGUCGUGAGACAGUUCGGUCCCUAUCUGCCGUGGGCGCUGGAGAACUGAGGGGGGCUGCUCCUAGUACGAGAGGACCGGAGUGGACGCAUCACUGGUGUUCGGGUUGUCAUGCCAAUGGCACUGCCCGGUAGCUAAAUGCGGAAGAGAUAAGUGCUGAAAGCAUCUAAGCACGAAACUUGCCCCGAGAUGAGUUCUCCCUGACCCUUUAAGGGUCCUGAAGGAACGUUGAAGACGACGACGUUGAUAGGCCGGGUGUGUAAGCGCAGCGAUGCGUUGAGCUAACCGGUACUAAUGAACCGUGAGGCUUAACCUUACAACGCCGAAGGUGUUU